GUGGGGGUGUUUUUGGGUGCUGAGGGGGUCAGGGGGACACACCCCGAGUCCCCGGAUCAGGGGGUGGAAAUCCUCUCCCUCCCUCCCUGUCUCUGCAAAGCCAGGCCUGUUUAUAGAUAAAGGUAGGUAGGUAGAUGAUGGCAUUACGUUACUAGGUUGCCAGAUGCGAAAAUUGACGCAGUGCUUCUGCCCAUCAAAGGAGGUCAUAGGGGGUGGAAGUUCUGUCCCUCCCUCCCUGUCUCUGCAAAGCCAGGCCUGUUUAUAGAUAAAGGUAGGUAGAUGGAUAGAUAGAUAGAUAGAUAGAUAGAUAGAGUUUCUAGGUUGCCAGAUGCGAAAAUUGACGCAGUGCUUCUGUCCAUCAAAGGAGGUCAUAGGGGGUGGAAGUUCUGUUCCCCCCUCCCUGUCUCUGCAAAGCCAGGCCUGUUUAUAGAUAAAGGUAGGUAGAUGGAUAGAUAGAUAGAUAGAUAGAUAGAUAGAUAGAGUUUCUAGGUUGCCAGAUGCACAAAUUGACGCAGUGCUUCUGCCCAUCAAAGGAGGUCAUAGGGGGUGGAAGUUCUGUCCCUCCCUCCCUGUCUCUGCAAAGCCAGGCCUGUUUAUAGAUAAA